UAUAUCAACAAUUUCAGGAAUUAAAAAAAACACUUAAAGUUAAGCAAGGUCGAGCCUGAUUAGUACUUGGAUGGGAGACCACCAAGGAAGACCAGGUGCUGUAGGCA
rnacentral:rRNA from 1 species